AUUGAACUUUGGAGGUGAUUGCAUCCAGGAUUCAUUGGACUUGGGCUGAGUGACGGAGCUUCGAGUCUAACUCUAGUUUCGCGAGUUGAUCAUGCCAAAGGUUAAGGCCAAGAAAAUAACGACCGCAGGUGCGAGGAAGGGAGAUGACACACCGAAGAGGAGGCCGGGUCGGCCGAGAGGUCCACGGGCGACGUCAACCCCGCAAGUGUGGAUCUGGGGCUGGGAGGCGGCAACAACGGGCCAGGAAGGAGCGGACCUGUGGUGUGGAUCAUAGGGGACUCGAUAGUGUUUUGGGCACAUCGCAGGGCGAAGAACACCGGCGAGGCUGACCUUGGACUUGGAACGUCGGUCCGCUGGUUGGG